rnacentral:sRNA from 12 species
CCUGUGGAUCGUUACAUAAACGAAAGUAGUUUUAACGAAUAUGUUUGAGUCUCAAAUAUCAACGUUAAAACAAAAUCGGACGGGAUGAAGCAGGAA